rnacentral:rRNA from 1 species
CAUUACACAAAUAUGAAGGCGGGCUGGAACCUCUCGGGGUUACAGCCUUGCUGAAUUAUUCACCCUUGUCUUUUGCGUACUUCUUGUUUCCUUGGUGGGUUCGCCCACCACUAGGACAAACAUAAACCUUUUGUAAUUGCAAUCAGCGUCAGUAACAAAUUAAUAAUUACAACUUUCAACAACGGAUCUCUUGGUUCUGGCAUCGAUGAAGAACGCAGCGAAAUGCGAUAAGUAGUGUGAAUUGCAGAAUUCAGUGAAUCAUCGAAUCUUUGAACGCACAUUGCGCCCUUUGGUAUUCCAAAGGGCAUGCCUGUUCGAGCGUCAUUUGUACCCUCAAGCUUUGCUUGGUGUUGGGCGUCUUGUCUCUAGCUUUGCUGGAGACUCGCCUUAAAGUAAUUGGCAGCCGGCCUACUGGUUUCGGAGCGCAGCACAAGUCGCACUCUCUAUCAGCAAAGGUCUAGCAUCCAUUAAGCCUUUUUUUCAACUUUUGACCUCGGAUCAGGUAGGGAUACCCGCUGAA